rnacentral:rRNA from 1 species
AGUGUGGGGAGCAAACAGGAUUAGAUACCCUGGUAGUCCACACCGUAAACGAUGGAUACUAGGUGUAGGAGGUAUCGACCCCUUCUGUGCCGCAGUUAACACAAUAAGUAUCCCACCUGGGGAGUACGACCGCAAGGUUGAAACUCAAAGGAAUUGACGGGGGCCCGCACAAGCAGUGGAGUAUGUGGUUUAAUUCGAAGCAACGCGAAGAACCUUACCUGGGCUUGACAUCCCUGGAAUCGAGUAGAGAUACUUGAGUGCCUUCGGGAAUCAGGUGACAGGUGGUGCAUGGUUGUCGUCAGCUCGUGUCGUGAGAUGUUGGGUUAAGUCCCGCAACGAGCGCAACCCCUAUUGUCAGUUGCCAUCAUUAAGUGGCACUCUGGCGAGACUGCCGGUGACAAAUCGGAGGAAGGUGGGGACGACGUCAAAUCAUCAUGCCCCUUAUGCCCAGGGCUACACACGUACUACAAUGGCCGAUAACAAAGUGCAGCGAAACCGUGAGGUGGAGCGAAUCACAAAACUCGGUCUCAGUUCAGAUUGCAGGCUGCAACUCGCCUGCAUGAAGUUGGAAUUGCUAGUAAUCGCGGAUCAGAAUGCCGCGGUGAAUACGUUCCCGGGCCUUGUACACACCGCCCGUCACACCAUGAGAGUCGAUAACACCCGAAGCCUGUGAGCUAACCUAUUAGGAGGCAGCAGUCGAAGGUGGGGUUGAUGAUUGGGGUGAAGUCGUAACAAGGUAGCCGUAUCGGAAGGUGCGGCUG